UACAGAGGUCUCAAGCGUUGUUCGGAUUCAUUGGGCGUAAAGGGUGCGUAGGCGGCGCGGUAAGUCGGGUGUGAAAUCUCGGAGCUUAACUCCGAAACUGCAUUCGAUACUGCCGUGCUUGAGGACUGGAGAGGAGACUGGAAUUUACGGUGUAGCGGUGAAAUGCGUAGAUAUCGUAAGGAAGACCAGUGGCGAAGGCGGGUCUCUGGACAGUUCCUGACGCUGAGGCGCGAAAGCGUGGGGGAGCAAACAGG
rnacentral:rRNA from 1 species